UACGAGAGGCCCAAACGUUAUUCGGAUUUACUGGGCGUAAAGGGCGCGUAGGCGGCGCGGUAAGUCACUUGUGAAAUCUCUGAGCUUAACUCAGAACGGCCAAGUGAUACUGCAGUGCUAGAGUGCGGAAGGGGCAAUCGGAAUUCUUGGUGUAGCGGUGAAAUGCGUAGAUAUCAAGAGGAACACCUGAGGUGAAGACGGGUUGCUAGGCUGACACUGACGCUGAGGCGCGAAAGCCAGGGGAGCAAACGGG
rnacentral:rRNA from 1 species